rnacentral:rRNA from 1 species
GCAGUAGAACGCUGAAGAGAGGAGCUUGCUCUUCUUGGAUGAGUUGCGAACGGGUGAGUAACGCGUAGGUAACCUGCCUUGUAGCGGGGGAUAACUAUUGGAAACGAUAGCUAAUACCGCAUAACAAUGGAUGACACAUGUCAUUUAUUUGAAAGGGGCAAUUGUUCCACUACAAGAUGGACCUGCGUUGUAUUAGCUAGUAGGUGAGGUAAUGGCUCACCUAGGCGACGAUACAUAGCCGACCUGAGAGGGUGAUCGGCCACACUGGGACUGAGACACGGCCCAGACUCCUACGGGAGGCAGCAGUAGGGAAUCUUCGGCAAUGGGGGCAACCCUGACCGAGCAACGCCGCGUGAGUGAAGAAGGUUUUCGGAUCGUAAAGCUCUGUUGUAAGUCAAGAACGGGUGUGAGAGUGGAAAGUUCACACUGUGACGGUAGCUUACCAGAAAGGGACGGCUAACUACGUGCCAGCAGCCGCGGUAAUACGUAGGUCCCGAGCGUUGUCCGGAUUUAUUGGGCGUAAAGCGAGCGCAGGCGGUUUGAUAAGUCUGAAGUUAAAGGCUGUGGCUCAACCAUAGUUCGCUUUGGAAACUGUCAAACUUGAGUGCAGAAGGGGAGAGUGGAAUUCCAUGUGUAGCGGUGAAAUGCGUAGAUAUAUGGAGGAACACCGGUGGCGAAAGCGGCUCUCUGGUCUGUAACUGACGCUGAGGCUCGAAAGCGUGGGGAGCGAACAGGAUUAGAUACCCUGGUAGUCCACGCCGUAAACGAUGAGUGCUAGGUGUUGGAUCCUUUCCGGGAUUCAGUGCCGCAGCUAACGCAUUAAGCACUCCGCCUGGGGAGUACGACCGCAAGGUUGAAACUCAAAGGAAUUGACGGGGGCCCGCACAAGCGGUGGAGCAUGUGGUUUAAUUCGAAGCAACGCGAAGAACCUUACCAGGUCUUGACAUCCCGAUGCUAUUUCUAGAGAUAGAAAGUUACUUCGGUACAUCGGUGACAGGUGGUGCAUGGUUGUCGUCAGCUCGUGUCGUGAGAUGUUGGGUUAAGUCCCGCAACGAGCGCAACCCCUAUUGUUAGUUGCCAUCAUUCAGUUGGGCACUCUAGCGAGACUGCCGGUAAUAAACCGGAGGAAGGUGGGGAUGACGUCAAAUCAUCAUGCCCCUUAUGACCUGGGCUACACACGUGCUACAAUGGUUGGUACAACGAGUUGCGAGUCGGUGACGGCGAGCUAAUCUCUUAAAGCCAAUCUCAGUUCGGAUUGUAGGCUGCAACUCGCCUACAUGAAGUCGGAAUCGCUAGUAAUCGCGGAUCAGCACGCCGCGGUGAAUACGUUCCCGGGCCUUGUACACACCGCCCGUCACACCACGAGAGUUUGUAACACCCGAAGUCGGUGAG